UUUCUCCCUUCUGACGAGCCGUGAUGUCAUUCAUUUGGUGUUACGGGGAGUCAGGACUGUUACUUUGAAAAAAUUAGAGUGUUUAAAGCAGGCAAUCGCUCGAAUACAUUAGCAUGGAAUAAUGAAAUAGGACGUUCGAACCUAUUUUGUCGGUUUCUAGGAUCGACGUAAUGAUUAAUAGGGAUAGUUGGGGGCAUUAGUAUUCAAUUGUCAGAGGUGAAAUUCUUGGAUUUAUUGAAGACUAACUACUGCGAAAGCAUUUGCCAAGGAUGUUUUCAUUAAUCAAGAACGAAAGUUAGGGGAUCGAAGACGAUCAGAUACCGUCGUAGUCUUAACCAUAAACUAUGCCGACUAGGGAUCGGAUGAUGUUAAUUUUUUAAUGACUCAUUCGGCGCCUUACG
rnacentral:rRNA from 1 species